CUACGGGUGGCUCCAGUGGGGAAUAUUGGACAAUGGGGGAAACCCUGAUCCAGCAAUGCCGCGUGUGUGAAGAAGGCCUGCGGGUUGUAAAGCACUUUCGGUUGGGAGGACUGCUUCUAGCACUAAUAUUGUUGGAAGUUGACGUUACCUUCAGAAGAAGCACCGACUAACUCCGUGCCAGCAGCCGCGGUAAUACGGAGGGUGCAGCGUUAAUCGGAAUUACUGGGCGUAAAGCGCGCGUAGGCGGCUAGAUCAGUCGGGUGUGAAAGCCCCGGGCUUAACCUGGGAACUGCAUCCGAUACUGUCUAGCUUGAGUACAGGAGAGGAGAGUGGAAUUCCACAUGUAGCGGUGAAAUGCGUAGAUAUGUGGAGGAACACCAAUGGCGAAGGCAGCUCUCUGGCCUGAUACUGACGCUGAGGUGCGAAAGCGUGGGGAGCAAACAGGAUUAGAUACCCUAGUAGUC
rnacentral:rRNA from 1 species